CUCUAUGUAAUAGAUAGACACAUGAACGAGCAUAUGGGUUUUUAUGAACAAGUAAUUUACCCUGAAAUCUAGUAAAUAUCAGCCAGCGUCAGUGGAAAGAGUGGCUCGCCCAACCGAUUUCAGGCCAAAUGAUGUCGAAAUCAUGCCUCGUGUUGCCUGAAAACGGUCUUCAAAAGCCAUGUGUUGCCUGAAAUCAUCCUCGCCUGGCCUUGAUCUUCGACCACUGUUUUCCAAUAGAUGGGUUAGG
rnacentral:lncRNA from 1 species